AGGGAAGAGCAGUGGGCAUCAUUGGGAAGCAGUAGAAGUCUCUUGACAGGCCAGGCCUGCAUAAAUACUAGAUAAAGUGGCACCAACACCCAGACUGGUACAAAAUCCGAUUUGCUCUCAUUUGGGAGAAGCCUUCGGUGAUUUGAUCACCUGUCAGAAGUGUCUCUGUGAAAUGUCUUGUAGAGCCUUCAGUUCUUUUUCCGUUACCAUCUGUGAAGCAAAAGAAC